rnacentral:rRNA from 1 species
GUUGUAUAGUCAAGUAAUUAAGUGCAUGUGGUGGAUGCCUUGGCAGUCAGAGGCGAUGAAAGACGUGAUAGCCUGCGAAAAGCUCCGGGGAGGCGGCAAAUAUCCUUUGAUCCGGAGAUGUCUGAAUGGGGGAACCCACCUACUUUAAGGUAGGUAUUGCAACAUGAAUACAUAGUGUUGCAAGGCGAACGAGGGGAAGUGAAACAUCUCAGUACCCUUAGGAAAAGAAAUCAAUUGAGAUUCCCUCAGUAGCGGCGAGCGAACGGGGAUCAGCCCAUUAAGUUAUGUGUGUUUUAGUGGAACGCUCUGGGAAGUGCGAACGUAGAGGGUGAUAUUCCCGUACACGAAAGGGCACACAUAAUGAUGACGAGUAGGGCGAGGCACGUGAAACCUUGUCUGAAUAUGGGGGGACCAUCCUCCAAGGCUAAAUACUCCUGACUGACCGAUAGUGAACCAGUACCGUGAGGGAAAGGCGAAAAGAACCCCUGUGAGGGGAGUGAAAUAGAUCCUGAAACCGCAUGCAUACAAGCAGUGGGAGCACCUUCGUGGUGUGACUGCGUACCUUUUGUAUAAUGGGUCAGCGACUUAUAUUCAGUAGCAAGGUUAACCGUAUAGGGGAGCCGUAGAGAAAUCGAGUCUUAAUAGGGCGUUUAGUUGCUGGGUAUAGACCCGAAACCAGGCGAUCUAUCCAUGAGCAGGUUGAAGGUUGGGUAACACUAACUGGAGGACCGAACCCACUGUCGUUGAAAAGCCAGGGGAUGACUUGUGGAUAGGGGUGAAAGGCUAAUCAAGCCUGGUGAUAGCUGGUUCUCCCCGAAAGCUAUUUAGGUAGCGCCUCGGACGAAUACCAUAGGGGGUAGAGCACUGUUUCGGCUAGGGGGUCAUCCCGACUUACCAAACCGAUGCAAACUCCGAAUACCUAUGAGUACUAUCCGGGAGACAGACUGCGGGUGCUAACGUCCGUAGUCAAGAGGAAAACAAUCCAGACCGCCAGCUAAGGCCCCAAAAUCAUAGUUAAGUGGGAAACGAUGUGGGAAGGCAUAGACAGCUAGGAGGUUGGCUUAGAAGCAGCCACCCUUUAAAGAAAGCGUAAUAGCUCACUAGUCGAGUCGGCCUGCGCGGAAGAUGUAACGGGGCUAAAACUAUGUGCCGAAGCUGCGGAUNNUUGACAUUAGUCAAGUGGUAGGGGAGCGUUCUGUAAGCCGAUGAAGGUGUAUUGAGAAGUAUGCUGGAGGUAUCAGAAGUGCGAAUGCUGACGUGAGUAACGACAAAACGGGUGAAAAACCCGUUCGCCGAAAGACCAAGGGUUCCAGUCCAACGUUAA